UUCCACUUUCAGAUGACAUGUAUUCUCUUUUUGAUUGUUUUGUUUUGUUGAGACAGGCUUUCUCUGUGUGACCCAGGCUGUCCUGGAACUCUUGUCUCUGCCUCCCGAGUGUUGUUGGGCUUAAAGGCGUGUGCUACCACUGUCUGGCUCAGAUUAUAUUUAUUCUCUUACCCCUAACCCUAACCCUUUUGAAACUUCCCUUACCCUUCCUUAGCCUCCCUUAAGACUUUCCUUUACCCCUUAUGGUUCUCUUUCUAGUUUCACAACCUACACUUGUCCUCAAAAGUCCCCACCCCAUACAUGUGCACACACACACACACACACACACACACACACACACACUAGAAUUAGGAUCUGCACGUGAGAGAACAUGAUUUCUUGCAACUCUUUUCUUCUUGUAUUUUGAGAUACAGUCUUACCGUGGCAGAAUGAAGUGUUUAUCCCAAGGUAGCCUUAAACUUGUGACAAUACUACUACUUUAGCCAUAUAAGUGUUAUAGUUACAGGUAUAAGCCACCGAGGACCACUUUUUCACAUCCAUUCAUCCUUUGAUGCAGACGAGGCUUGUUCCAUUUUCUUGCUGAUGUGAAUAAUGAAAUAGUAAGCAUGGACGUGCAUCUGUCUCUGUGAUGGACACUCUCGGAAUAUCCUAGGAGUGACAGAAGGGGAUCAUAUGGCAGUUCAAGUUUUAGUUCUGUCUUUAAGAUUUUGUUGUUGUUGUUGUUGUUCAUGUGCUUGUAUCUGCCACAUGUUUGUGGGUACCUGAAGUGUUCAAGAGAGUGUCAGGUCUCCUGGAGCUGGAGUUAUAGGUGGAUUUGAGCCAUCUGAUAUGGGUUGUGGGAACAAUGCUUGCUGUCCUUUGGAAAGAACAGAGUAUGUUUUUAAUCAUUGGCCAUCUCUUCAGCCCCUAUAAUUUUAUUCUUUUGAGAGACCUCUAUACUAAUUUCUACUCUGUACACAGUAAGUAAGAGUUCUUCUUUCCUCUGUGAAGCCCUGGCUGUCCUGGAACACACUAUGUAGACCAGACUGUCCUCACACUUGGAGACCUACCUCUAGCGUCUCUGCCUCCAGAGUGCUGGUGUUAGAGGUGUCGUCACCACCACCCAGCAUCAUCCUUUGUUUUCUUGGUAGCUGUUCUAACUGGGAUGAGAUAAGAUCUCAAAAUAGUUUGAAUUUACAUUUCCCUAGUGGAUGUUGAAUACUUUUUUAAAACUUGUAUUACCCAUUUAUCUUUCUUCUUUUGAGAACUCUCUAGUUCCCUAAACUUACUUAUUGAUCUGAAGUUUGGAUUUUCUAAGUGUUUAAUUUUAUAGUUCUUUACAUAUUCUAGACAUUAACCCCUGUGUGAAGUGUGGCUAGUAAAGAUUUUCUCCCAUUAUGAAAUCUAAGGAAGAUUUUGAUCAAAAUAAUUUUAGCUGUUAGGUACAGUGCUGAGUCAGGGCUUCCUGGGCUUCUGAACCCUGAAUCCCCAGCUGCCCUGCUUUCUAUAGCCUCGUGUAGGAGCCCUUCCUCUUAGAGGCUGCUCAGAAGCACUGUCUCCAUGGGUGUGUGUUUCAGCUCUUCUGGGGUUUUCCCCUCUGCCUAGGGCUGUGAGUGCCAGACAGAGCAGGAAGCCUGUGGUCUCUUGGCUGCUGUCUUUAGUUUGGGGAUUCUCUAUCCUUUCCAGUCUUAAGCCAAGUGGUGGUAGUCCCAGCAUUCAGGAGGCAGGGGCAGGCUGAUCUCUUGAGUUUUGGGGCUAACCUGAUUUACAAAGUGAGUUCCAGGACAACCAGGGCUAUGUAGAGAAACCCUGUCUUAAAAAAACAAAAACGAUUUCAGUUCUAUGUGGAAAGUGAUGCCUCUGCAGAGCUUCAGGGAUUUCCUAUCCUUCUUGUGACAAAAUUAAUAUGUUAAAUGCUAAGAUAAUAUUUAUCUUUUUCUCACUGUUAUUUGCUGCUAAUAUUAUGCAGUGGAGUUUUUCAGUGAUCACAUACUGGGUGGACAUUAUCUUGACAGUACAUUGAAUGCAUGUACAUGUUAUUUUCUUGGAAUUUUCUGUAGUAGAAUUAUGGCUUAAAGAUGUGUAUUUUUGAGAUUACUAUAUCCUAACAGUUUCACUAUACUCUAACCUAGCAAUCUUCAGUUAUACCUACUAUAGUUAAUUUGUAAUUUUAAUCAUCUAGUAAGUCAUUACUUUAAAAUUCUGACCAUUCAUGUGCCUAUACAGAAAUACAAGUAAAGUUUGUUGCUCUGUUUUGUAAUAAUAUUAAAAAAAUAUAUUAAAGUACUAUUAAACAUAUGUAAGUUUUAUCUAAACCAGUAACAUUUGAUACAUUUAUAAUGUCACCAUUUAAGUCUUUAAAAGAUGUAAGUGACAAUGGAGAUGGAUCAGUCAGUAAAAUUCUUGCAGUACAACCCUGAGGACCUAAGUUCAAGUUCUGACAACCACAUAAAGAAUUAGGUGUGGGGGAGGCAGAGAGAGUAUGCUGUCUGGGGCUUCCAGCCAGCCAGUCUAGCCAAAUUGGUGAACUCUAGGUUUGGAGGAGAGAGCUUGGAAAAAUGGCUCAAUGGCUAAGAACAGUUGUUGCUCUUGCAGAGAACUCAGAUUCAAUUCCCAGUACCCAUAUGAUGGCUUGCAACCAUCAAUAACUCUAGUUCUUUUCCUGACUGUCACAGGUACCAGGCAUAUACAUGAUAUAGGCUCAUGUACAUAAAUAAAUCUUAAAAAAGAUAAGGUGGUAUCCUAGUCAUUGUUCUAUUGCUCUGAAGAGCUACUAUGACCAAGACAACUUUUAUGAGAGCAUUAAUUAAGGGCUAGUAUCAUUAUCAUGGUUGGGAGCAUGGCCCCAUGUGGGCAGGUUGGAGUUGGAGCAAUAGCUGGAAGCUUUACAUUCUGAUCUUCAGACACAGAGAGAGAUACUGGGCCAGCUGUGGGCUUUUGAAACCUCAAAGUCUGCCUCUAAUGACACACUUCCUCCAAAAAGGCCACACCUCUGUUCUUUCAAAUAGUUCCACUCCCUGAUGACUAAGCAUUCAAAUAGUUGAGCUUUUGGGGGCCAUUCUCAUUCGAGCUACCAUAGGUAAAGAUACACAUAAAACAAACAAACAAACAAAC
rnacentral:lncRNA from 1 species